GUAGCAAAGAUUGCAUUUAAGGGGAGCCACGAUCCUCAAAAUUGAGGGAACGACGCAGGAAGAAGAGGUAAUGAUUGAGUCAUCA